UGGCGAACGGGUGAGUAACACGUGAGUAACCUGCCCACAACUUUGGGAUAACGCUAGGAAACUGGUGCUAAUACUGGAUAUGUGCUCCUGCUGCGUGGUGGGGGUUGGAAAGCUCCGGCGGUUGUGGAUGGACUCGCGGCCUAUCAGCUUGUUGGUGGGGUAGUGGCCUACCAAGGCGGCGACGGGUAGCCGGCCUGAGAGGGUGACCGGCCACAUUGGGACUGAGAUACGGCCCAG
rnacentral:rRNA from 1 species